ensembl:lncRNA
GGGGGCUGUACCGGGAUAUAGGUUAAUGAAUAUAGACUAGUGGAUAUAGGUUAAUGAAUAUAGACUAGUGGAGACUGGGGACUGUCCUGGGGGGGCUGUACCGGGAUAUAGAUUAGUGAAUAUAGACUAGGGGAGAUGAGGGGGCUGUCCUGGGGGGCUGUACCGGGAUAUAGGUUAUUGAAUAUAGACUAGUGGAGAUGAGGGGGCUGUCCUGGGGGGCUGUACCGGGAUAUAGUUUAAUGAAUAUAGACUAGUGUAUAUAGGUUAAUGAAUAUAGACUAGUGGAGAUGAGGGGGCUGUCCUGGGGUGCUGUACCGGGAUAUAGGUUAAUGAAUAUGGCCUAGGGAAGAUGAGUGGGCUGUCCUGGGGGCUGUACCGGGAUAUAGGUUAAUGAAUAUAGACUUGGGGAGAUGUGGGGGCUGUCCUGGGGGGCUGUACCGGGAUAUAGUUUAAUGAAUAUAGACUAGUGGAUAUAGGUUAAUGAAUAUAGACUAGUGGAGAUGAGGGGGCUGUCCUGGGGUGCUGUACCGGGAUAUAGGUUAAUGAAUAUAGACUAGGGGAGAUGAGUGGGCUGUCCUGGGGGGCUGUACCGGGAUAUAGGUUAGUGAAUAUAGACUAGUGGAGAUGAGGGGGCUGUCCUGGGGGGCUGUACCGGGAUAUAGGUUAGUGAAUAUAGACUAGUGGAGAUGAGGGGGCUGUCCUGGGGGCUGUUCCGGGAUAUAGGUUAAUGAAUAUAGACUAGUGGAAUAGAGGGGGCUGUCCUGGGGGCUGUACUGGGAUAUAGGUUAAUGAAUAUAGACUAGUGGAUAUAGGUUAAUGAAUAUAGCCUAGUGGAGAUGAGGGGGCUUUCCUGGGGGCUGUACCGGGAUAUAGGUUAAUGAAUAUAGACUAGGGGAGAUGAGGGGGCUGUCCUGGGGGCUGUACCAGGAUAUAGGUUAAUGAAUAUAGACUAAGGGAGAUGAGGGGGCUGUCCUGGGGGGCUGUACCGGGAUAUAGGUUAAUGAAUAUAGACUAGGGGAGAUGAGGGGGCUGUCCUGAGGG